rnacentral:rRNA from 1 species
GAUGAACGCUGGCGGCGUGCCUAAUACAUGCAAGUCGAGCGAACAGACGAGGAGCUUGCUCCUCUGACGUUAGCGGCGGACGGGUGAGUAACACGUGGAUAACCUACCUAUAAGACUGGGAUAACUUCGGGAAACCGGAGCUAAUACCGGAUAAUAUAUUGAACCGCAUGGUUCAAUAGUGAAAGACGGUUUUGCUGUCACUUAUAGAUGGAUCCGCGCCGCAUUAGCUAGUUGGUAAGGUAACGGCUUACCAAGGCAACGAUGCGUAGCCGACCUGAGAGGGUGAUCGGCCACACUGGAGCUGAGACACGGUCCAGACGCCUACGGGAGGCAGCAGUAGGGAAUCUUCCGCAAUGGGCGAAAGCCUGACGGAGCAACGCCGCGUGAGUGAUGAAGGUCUUCGGAUCGUAAAACUCUGUUAUUAGGGAAGAACAAAUGUGUAAGUAACUAUGCACGUCUUGACGGUACCUAAUCAGAAAGCCACGGCUAACUACGUG